UUCUCUGUCCCAUUGCUACCAUUUCAUAGCCAACUCUUUGUUAUAUUUAACUUACUCUUCUUUGCUUCUUGUUCGUAACGAUAACUUGAAAGCCUUACGUUCAGAUAGAUAAUCAUUGACCAGUUCAUCCUAUAUCAUUCUAUUUAAUUUAGAAAUGCAGAAAGAAAAACGCAAGCAAUCCAAAGAUGAAGAAAUCGAUUCAUCCUCGCGAAAGAGAAGAAAAGCUGACCUCAGUAAGCCUAUUUAGAGAUUACAAUUAACCUCAUUUCAAUAUCAUAGCUUUGGAAUUUCAUAGCUAAGUCUUUGUUAUAUUGCUCCAUUGGUAAUUGACUGUGCCUUGAUUUCUGCAGCUGCCAUGAUAGAGCCGGAGUCUUCUCGAUCUAGACCAGAAGGGGCCUAUGAUGUCUUCUUGAGUUUUAGAGGAGAAGACACUCGCAAGUCAUUUACAGAUCAUCUAUACACUGCCUUGGUCCAAGCAGGAAUCCACACUUUUCGAGAUGAUGAUGAACUUCCGAGAGGAGAAGAAAUCUCCCAUCAUCUCCUCAGGACGAUUCAAGAAUCAAAGAUAUCCAUAGUUGUCUUCUCAAAAGGAUAUGCUUCUUCUAGAUGGUGUCUCAAUGAACUUGUAGAGAUUCUUAAGUGCAAAAAUAGGAAAACCGGUCAGAUUGUUCUUCCUAUAUUCUAUGACAUUGAUCCUUCAUAUGUGAGAAAACAGAAUGGCAGUUUUGCAGAAGCAUUUGUUAAACAUGAAGAGCGUUUUGAAGAGAAGUUGGUGAAGGAGUGGAGAAAAGCUCUUGAGGAGGCUGGAAAUCUAUCUGGAUGGAAUCUCAAUGAUAUGGCAAAUGGGUAUGCCUUUUCUCUCUAAAUUUCACUUGCAGACGUUUAUGGAGUAAUUUUACAUUACAUUUUUCAAUGUGAAGUAACAAAAUAUUUCUUUUUAGCAUACUUAAUUGACUUGCUAUCGAUGACUUGCUUUUUUUCUGUGAGCAGGCAUGAAGCAAAAUUUAUCAAAGGGAUUAUCAAGGAUGUGUUGAAUAAAUUAGAUCCCAAGUACUUAUAUGUUCCUGAACACCUAGUAGGUAUGGAUCAGCUUGCUCACGAUAUUUUGUACUUUCUAAGUACUGCAACAGAUGAUGUACGCAUUGUGGGCAUACAUGGGAUGCCAGGAAUAGGAAAGACAACUAUAGCAAAAGUUGUAUUUAAUCAACUCUGCAAUGGAUUCGAGGGAAGCUGUUUUCUUUCGAAUAUCAAUGAAACAUCAAAACAAUUUAAUGGUCUGGCUCUUUUACAAAAGCAACUUCUUCAUGAUAUUUUAAAACAAGAUGCUGCGAACAUCAAUUGUGAUGAUAGAGGAAAGGUUCUGAUCAAAGAGCGACUUUGUUGUAAAAGAGUUCUUGUUGUUGCUGAUGAUGUUGCUCAUCAAGACCAGCUAAUAGCUUUGAUGGGAGAUCGAAGUUGGUUUGGUCCCGGAAGUAGAGUAAUUAUUACAACAAGAGAUUCAAAUCUUCUUCGUGAAGCAGAUCAAACAUAUCAGAUCGAAGAAUUGAAACCAGAUGAGUCCCUUAAGCUUUUCAGCAGGCAUGCCUUUAAGGACUCCAAGCCAGGAAAAUAUUAUAUUGAGCUUUCAAAGAAAGUCGUUGGUUACUGUGGAGGACUUCCUUUAGCUCUUGAGGUUAUAGGAGCUCUUCUGUACAGGAAAAACAGAGGUAGAUGGGAAAGUGAAAUUGACAACUUGAGCAGAAUUCCAAACAACGAUAUUCAAGGAAAGCUUCUAAUAAGUUAUCACGCACUUGAUGAUGAACUACAAAGGGCAUUCCUUGAUAUUGCAUGCUUCUUUAUUGGUUUAGAGAGAGAAUACGUCGCAAAAGUGCUAGGAGCCCGUUGCCGUUACAAUCCAGAAGUUGUUUUGGAAACUCUCUGUGAAAGGUCUCUGAUUCAAUUUCAUAUGUGUAUAAUUAAAGAUGAAAGGCAGUUAUUUGAAAGGAUGGUAACCAUGCAUGAUCUAUUACGAGACAUGGGAAGGGAGGUCGUUCGUGAAUCGUCUCCAAAAGAACCUGGAAAGAGGACCAGAAUUUGGAAUCAAGAGGAUGCAUGGAAUGUACUUGAGCAGCAGAAGGUAAGAGCUCAAUGCAUACAUGAAAGCAUAGUCAUGCGUAUUUUCUAGUCAAACUUAUUACAAAUAAUUGAAUGAAAGUUGUAUUUUUUUUUUUUUUAGGGUACGGAUGUUGUAGAGGGUCUUGCACUGGAUGUCAGAGCAUCAGAAGCUAAAUCACUUAGCACAGGAUCAUUUGCAGAAAUGAAAUGCUUAAAUUUACUCCAAAUCAAUGGAGUACAUCUCACCGGAUCCUUCAAACUGCUUUCUAAAGAGUUGAUGUGGAUUUGUUGGCAUGAAUGUCCUUUGAAAUAUUUUUCAUCUGAUUUUACCUUGGACAAUCUAGUUGUUCUUGAUAUGCAAUACAGUAACCUCAAAGAACUAUGGAAGGGAAAAAAGGUACGAAACAUGCUACAAUCACUAAAAUUUUUCCAGUAUGUAAUUUAUAUUUACAUGUUAUGACUUUCUAUUAUUAAUUUUCAUUAUUUUCCUCUCUAUUAUAACAGAUUCUUGACAAGCUAAAAAUCCUUAAUCUCAGUCAUUCUCAGCACCUUAUUAAAACACCAGACUUGCACAGUUCAAGUCUAGAGAAACUAAUUCUGAAAGGUUGCUCGAGUUUAGUUAAGGUGCAUCAAUCAAUUGAAAAUUUGACGAGCCUUGUUUUCUUGAAUCUAGAGGGAUGUUGGAGGCUGAAGAAUCUCCCUGAAAGCAUUGGUAAUCUAAAGUCUCUUGAAACUUUGAAUAUUUCUGGGUGUUCACAACUUGAGAAAUUACCAGAACGCAUGGGUGAUAUGAAUCCUUAACUCAGCUGCUAGCUGAUGGGAUUGAAAAUGAGCAAUUUCUCUCUUCAAUUGGACAAUUAAAGCAUGUCAGAAGGUUAUCAUUGUGUGGAUAUAGUUCGGCUCCACCAAGUUCUUCUUUGAUUUCAGCAGGUGUUUUGAAUUGGAAACGUUUGCUGCCAACACCUUUCAUUGAAUGGAUAUCAAUGAAACAUCUUAACCUUUCUAAUUGUGGUUUAACUGAUCGCGCAAUUAACUGUGUUGAUUUCAGUGGUUUGUCUGCUCUAAAGUGUUUGGAUCUAGAUGGAAACAAAUUCUCUAGCCUACCUUUUGGGAUCGGUUUCCUUCCCAAGCUAGAGAUCUUGUCUGUUAAGGAAUGCAAAUAUCUUGUAUCAAUUCCAGAUCUUCCCUCAAGUUUAAACUAUUUGUUUGCAGUUCAUUGCAAAUCAUUGAAAAGAGUAAGAAUACCAAUCGAGCAAGAAGACCUAUGCAUAGAACUAGAUGGAAGUCAUUCGUUAGAAGAGAUUCAGGGCAUCGAAGGUCUAAGUAAUAGUUUCUGGUAUAUUUGUGUUCAUGAUCACCGCAGUCAUUCACCAAAUAAAUUACAGAAGAGCGUUGUUGAGGUACUAUUUCUUUCAAUCUCUCUUGCACAAAAAUAACACACACAAUUGGCACAUACAUUGAUUAAUAUCUAAAAUCUCAGCAUUCCUUGAAAUCAAUAUGUAUAUAGGCAAUAAUCAUUAUUAUUAUUAUUUUAUUUUAAAAAACAAAUAUCAUCUUUAAUAAUAUUUUUUAUUUUUCUUAUUUAAUCUAAAAAAAUAAAUAUUAUAUUUAAUAAUAUUUUUUAUUAAAUAUUUAAAGUCUGAUUGGUUUUAUUUUUUAUUUCUUGAUUUUAUGAUAAUAUAUUUAUACAGGCAAUGUGCAACGGUCGUCACCGGUAUCGUAUUGACCCCUUUCCUGGUGAGAUGCCAAAUUGGAUGAGCUACAGUGGAGAAGGAUGCUCAUUGUCAUUCCAUAUACCUCCAGUCUUCCAUGGCUUAGUUCUUUGGGUUGUCAAUCGACCACUUGAGAAGGAAGAUUAUUAUUACUACAACACUUACAUUAUUAUUAUUAUAAGAAAUAAAAGCAACGGUAUUCAAUUGUUUGAAGAUAAGCUACCAACAUUUGAGGGAUGGUUAAGAUACAUGAGUAGAAGUGAAAUGACAAUGGAAGAUUACUGUGCAGAUGACGAAUUGGAACUAUCCAUUUAUUCACAGCAAUGGCUCAACGAUCAUUCAUACCAACCCGCAGACAUUAAAGAAUGUGGGGUCCAUGUGAUUGCAGGGAAGUCAGAUUCAUUUGAAGAGUUGGCAGUGGGAAGAGAUACAAUGAUGCCUUCACCACCUCCAUAUCAUCUGCUUCCGCAUCCCACUUGUGGUUCGAUUACAGCGUCUACACUUAAGCAAUGGAGUGACUAUUUAUUUGCGGAGCUGCAAGGACAUAGCCUCUAUUUAAUACUUGAUGGUAAGAACAAAUAUUUCAUUUAGUUAUUUUUAUUCUAUUAUAUUUAAUUUAUGAGAUUAAAUAUUAUCUUUAAUGAUUUUAUUAUUAUUAUUUAAUAUAAAAAAUUAAAUAUCAUCUUUAAUAAAAAAAAUAUUAAAUAUUUAAGGCUUUUUGGUAAGAAUACAUAUUUCCUUUAGUUAUUUCGAUUCUAUUCUAUUUAAUUUAAGAGAUUAAAUAUCAUCUUUAAUUCUUACAUUUUUCUUAUUUAAUCUAAAAAAUUAAAUAUUAUCUUUAACAAUAUUUUUUAUUAAAUAUUUAGAGUCUGCUUGGUUUUAUUUUUUUUCUUGAUUUUAUGAUAAUAUUUUUCUUAUUUAAUAUAAAAAAUAAAUAUUAUCUUUAAUAAUUAGAUGAAAACAAAAAGCCAACAAUCACUAACAUAUUUUAUUAAAAUCACUUUAGUUUAUUUAGAAAAUAUUGAAAACUGAUUUUUGUUUUCUUACAUUAAAAUAAAAAAAAUUGAAUAAUGUUUUUAUAUUUUAUUUCAAACUUUAUAUUUUAAAACAAAAAUGAAAAAGAUGUGAUAUUGACCUUUAUUAUUAUAAAGUAAGUUUUUUUAUUAAAAGUGAUGGGAAUUUGUUCGUAAUAACAAAGUGCAUGUACAAUCUUGCACAUUUAACUUUCUUUUUAAAUUUGAUGGUUUUUUAGGACGUGAAUGGCGUUGGCCGAUGUGAGAGUACAAGAUCAUUUUAUAUAGAGAUGUUUGAAGUUGCUCCAAAUCAGUACACGAUACUUUCAUCUGACAUGUUGAUAUGUAUUUGUUGGCUUGAAGAUGAUUUUCCAAGCUUGGAAGUUUUAUUGAAUUCUCUUUGAAAUCUUUUCCAUCCGCUGGACAAUCUAGUUGUUAAUUAUUAUGCCUGAUGUAAUUUAUAUUUUCAAGUUACAAAUUUUGAUGAAUAUUGUUUCAUUUUUUCCCUCACUUCAAAAGAUGAAAAUCCUUGAUGUUAGUUAGAAAUAAAUUGGUUUUAUAGAAAGAGAUUAUUGAUUGGAAUAUUGUUUACUAACCCAUUUUAAAGUUCACUAUAUAAAUACUAGAAAAAUAUUUUAUUUUUUCAAUAUGAAAUUAAAAAAAUCCUUUUGGUUUAAAUACAUUAAUUUUAAAAAAUAAGAUAAUAUCUUUUUAAUAUGAGAUAAAAAGACAUUUUAAAAUAAUCUUUUAAACUUUAUUAUAUGCAACAUGUAUAACCUAUAUUCAUAUGAAUUGUUUCUUUAAUUUUUUGCAUAUGAAAUGUUAAAAAUCAAAUAUAUUUUUUUUAUUUUUUCGAGUUGACCUGGAUCAAUUUGUGUAACUCAAAACUCUAUUUUUUUGUCUGGUCAAUUUUAGGUUGGGUUGUAAAUUUAUUGAAAAAAACAUAAUUUUAUAUUUCUAUAAAAAUCAAAGGUAAAGAAUUAAAUUAUGACAUAUAUCACUAAUUAUUGAUAUACUCUUAUUACAAACACGAAAUUUUAUGUCACUUCAUGAUACCCAUGUUUUCAAUGCUUUACACUGCUUUAAAAAAUUGUUACAGUAAUAGCACAGAGAGGAACGGUUCAAGAAAAAACAAUAAUGGAGUUGAAGCAAAAUCACUGUUUGAUUUUUUUCUUUUUUGUGUUUUGAUUAGUACUUAAAAGUGCAUGUUUAUCAAGGGUUUAUAUCAUCAUUUCGCACUUAAAGUAUCAAUAACUCCUUAACUAAAGCAUGUUUUAUAAUAACAAGUCUAAUACUAUAAAAUGCCCUAAUAUAUGGUAAAUGUUCAUCUUAAAUGCAGGCCUAUCACAUAAAUCAAAGGAUUGAUUGAUGAAUUCAACUACUGAAAUUUGUGAAGAUAAAGAGAGGGUGAAACUUAGAAAAGAGAUGUUGGUGCAGUCCAAACUGGAACACUGUUCGGUAAUUGGGUCAUAUCUCGAGUUCUAGAUGUCCAAAUGAUCUCAAAUUUUUACACAGAUUCAGUAAGACAUAGGCCUACAACUUUCAUGUUUUCAUCAAGAUCUAAGAAGGCCGUUUUCAAGUCCAAAUUAUAGCAACAACGGAGAAGUCCGAAUCUGUCCUGCAGCCCGAACACUGUUCAGUGUUUGGCCCAUAUCUGGAGUUCUAGAAGUCCAAAUGACCUCAUUUUUUUUCCUGGAAGAAUUUCCUACAACUUUCAUGUUUCAGUGGACCCAGUUCGAUGGUAGCAUUUUUGUUUUAUUCAGACAAGAAGAUAAGGAUUUUCACAAGUCAAAAGUUGGCCACCCACUCAACAAUUAGUCAUCAAAUCAAUAAUUCCGAAUUUUGGCCUAUAAAAGGAGGCAUUUGCCAUGUAUUUGGGGCUUGGUUGUUCAGAUCAAGUUCAUGCUCUUUAUUUCUCUCUUUAUAUUUUUUGUAAUUUUAAGUUUUGCUUUCAUUAAUAUCUUGUUUAUGCUUUUCAUUUCCUUUCCUUUCUUAGUUAACUUGUAUUUUUUUAUGUUCUUGUUUUGUUUAUUUAUGUUUCUCUUCUUCAUUAUGUUUAGCUAAGUUUAUUAUGUCAAGGUGAAAAGGUUACACUAAUGGUGUAAGAAUAAGUAUGUGUAAACUCAACAUGGACCUUAAUGUUUAAUAUUAACAUGUCUUAUCUUUUUAUCUUACUAAUUCUUAAUACCUUGCUUGUUAAAUGGUUAAUCUAGAUUUGUGUUGUAUAACACUUGGUACAACAAAUGCUUGGCACUCUCAUAGCCCAACCGUAUGGUAUUACCUACACCUGGGCUAUGAAAGGAACUUGAUUUGUUGUUAACAUCAGUUAAUCAUGAAUUCCUGACAAUAUUUAAAAGUUUGGUGUUAUGUAAAUAAGAUAAUUAAUAUGAUCAUGUUAAUAAUUUAUAAUGAGCUAUUAAUGACAAAUCAUCCGAUUGGAACCUCCUUUGUGUGUGGUUUCCAAAUUGAGUAAUAAGAGUUUAUACUAUACUUGUUUGAAAUACCAUUGGUGGAUCCUCUAACCUUGACAUUUGUUUUUAUCAUUGUUUAAUCCUUACAUUAAUCUUCCAUCUCAAAGUUCUCAUUAAUUUCUUCUCUUCUUCUUUUUUUUUCUUUUUUUUUAUUAUAUUAUAUUAUAUUAUAUUACUACUACUACUACUACUAGUAUUAUUAUUAUUAUUAUUAUUACUAUUACUACUACUACUAUUGCUAUUAUUAUUAUUGCUAUUAUUAUUUCUAUUAUUAUUAUUAUUAUUAUUAUUAUUAUUAUUUACAUUAUGUUUAUAUUAUAUAAUAUAUAUUUUUUUAUCUUUUUAUAAACUCAGUAUAUAGGCUGGAAACCUGUGACCCGAUCUUUUAGAUCAUUCUCAGGUGUAAUAACGCCACGUACUGAGUAUUACUAUUACUAUUACUAUUAUUAUUACUAUUAUUGCUAUUAUUGUUAUUAUUAUUGUUAAUUGUUGUUGUUAUUGUUGUUAUUAUUAUUAUUAUUGUUGUUGUUGUUAUUAUUGUUGUUGUAUUAUUGUUAUUUAUAAUUUGUACAAUUAACCUCUAUGUGGUUCGACCCCGGUCUUGCCGGGUUAUUUAUUACUUCGACACUCCUGCACUUGAGAGAAGACAUCAAUCUUUUGGUCGUGUCAUGUUUUGGGUACAUUGGUCAACAAUAGCUUGGAAGAGUUUGGAAUCAGUAACACGUGGACCCAGUUGUUGUGGAAACUUUGCAGAGGAUCUACACUCUGCAGGAAGAAAAAUGAUUUUAAUGGAUGUACUGUACAUCAUUUGAAUUUAUUAAAAGUAACAAGAUAUAUACAAUUAGAUGCUAUUUUUCGAUCAUAGAAGUAGCAUGAUUUUAAUAUACACCUUCUUUCAACGUUUUACACUGCUUUAGUCGUAAAAAAAAAAAAAAAAACUAUUAGAUGCUAUAAAACAAGAUAUAUACAAUUUAAUUUGAGAGUGCAAUAGAUAUUAUAUUUCAAAAUAUUUUUGAAAUAUAUUAAAAUAUUACUUUUUUUAAAAAAAUAAUUUUAAUAUCAUAUAUUAGAACAAUAAAUAAUAAUAAUAACUUAAAACAAUAAAAAAUUUUAAAAUCUUUUAAAAAUAUAAUUUUACUGACUCCAAAACACACCCAUGCUCCCUCAGCAACCACCACGAAAUUACCACUCUAAAUUACAGCUCAAUAAUUUAUUUUAGCAAUUAUUGCUUGCUCUUUGACAGUUAUUGCUUUGUUGCAAGAAACUUUCUCAAUUUCCUUCUAUUUUCUUUUUAUCAUGGAAACUUUAAGUCACAUUUGCGCCGACCACAGAAUUACCGAUAAGUAAAUUUCAAUGCGUAAUUGUGUAGGUUUCAAUUAAAAAUGCUUUAAUUUGAAAAAUUAUGUUAACAAUAAUAUAAAUUAAUUUUUCUUCAUAAAAAAGUAAUUGGGUAUUAAUUUAGGCUAUAAAUUAAGAUAUAAUAAUAAUAAUAAUAAUAAUAAGAGUUCGAGGGUAUUCAUUUUAUUAUUUGUUAGGUAACUAUAUAAUCUAAUUUGUUGAUGUGGAAAAUAGCACAAAGUUUUUGGGCAUGGCUAUUGGUGAGAAGCAAAAGCAGUAGCAGUCCAUGAGGACCAUCACCAUCGUAUCCACUAUGAGAGCUUUUGUAAACCCCGUGGACCCAGUUGUUGUGGAAACUUUGCAAAGGAUCUGCAGGAAGAAAAAUGAAAUUUGCAAAGUAUUUGUGUGUAUUAUAUAAUUGUGUUAAUUUAAGGAUUAUUUUUUAGUUGUAUCAAUUUAGAAAAUAUUUUUUUUUCUUGUGCCAUCUCCCUUUCCCUUCUUUACAUGGCUUACUCGAUGAAAAAAGCAAACACCCCAUUUUGAUUUUCAAUCUGUAUGAGUGAGAAAGAAAGAGAGGACAAGGGGGUCCUCUCUCUUUCCUUGCUUUUUUCAACGCUUGAGAAAUUUCCUUGUUUAUUUUCCUGUACGUGUUCCCUUUUACCUUUUAUAAUUAUGAUUAUUGCAUUGCUAAUAAUCUGCAACAAAGAUGAUGAAUAUUUUUUUUAGUGAAUUCAAAAUAACAAAAAAUAAGGUUUGUUGAGGCUUUUCUUGGAACCUCGUUCUGGGAUUAAUUAGUGAGAAUAAGAAAAUCCUGGGCAAAUUAUACAAAAUUUAUUAUUAAUAAUCAAUAUUUAUUCUUCAUCAUCAAUAUUGAAUAAUGGCUUAUUUUCUAGUAUAAAAAUAAAUAAAUUGAGGUUUUUCAAUUACCUUUAAACAUAUCAUAGUUUUGGACGGUACAUCUUUUGAAUUUAUUAAAAAAAAACAUGUAAUGUAAAUUAUAAAAAAUAUUUUUUUUUUCUGAUAUACAUAGUAAUAAUAAAUUAGAUGAUAAUAACUAGAAAAUAGGAAUUAGUUUGAUAAGUUGAACUCCACGAUCAGUGGAGAUAUCAAGUUUUUUAUAUAUAUAAUAUUAUAGUUAUAUUGAUGAAGUGAGACGAGUUUAAAUUUUAUAAUUUUUACACUUAUACUAUACUAUAGGAAUGUGGUUAUGUGGAAAAAAAAAAAAAAGAUUUAGUGAUAACUGCUUAGCCCAAGAGUCUUUCAUGGUUGCCACAGGUUAAUUAUUUAAUCUCAUGCUCAUUGCCUGCAGCUAAGCUUCGGCAGUCACCAAGUUGCUAUUAAGGUAAGUUCUCCACCUGCGUGUUCUUCCUUUUCAAGCUAAGCGUAGACAUCUUUGGCUACAUUUACUUAUAAUUUAGUUCAAGUCAAUAAAAACUUAGCAGUAAUUUGAUACAAAAAAUUCAUGGUCAUUAAAUUGUCGACGAGCAUGUAAGCUAACCUGAACACGCGUGUUAAUUAAAAAAAUAAAAAAGACAACAUUAUCAUUCAAAAGUUAGUAAUACAAUAACCUUUACUUAUUUUUCAAGUUUCAUAGAAUAGUAGUGGAAUAAAUUUUUUGUAAUUGGUAAAAUACGUCAUGCUAAAGCUAACAAAUAAUUAAUAACACAAGAAAGAACGGAAGUUAACUACAAUAAAUAUUUUUUUGAAAAACGGAGCCACAAUACGAGGAAAUCUCUUCACUUAUCAAUGAAAUAUUACUUCUCCUGUAAAUGAAUAGAAAUAAUUUAAUUGAUUACUUGGAAGAAGAAAGCGUAUCCCUUCUCACUAAUAAAAGUAGUUUGAAGUAUCAUUAAACCGGACAAAAAUAAACAACCGAUAAUAAUAUAGUUAAGAUGAAAAAAAAUUGUUUAAAAAACAAUUUGAACCAAUUAAUCUUAAAAAAACCAAAAAGAAACAUGCCAUGAAAAAAAGUAUUGUUUAAAGGAACGCAAAAAUGCAUUCCAAGUAUGAAGUGUUUUAUUGCUAUAAAGUUUUUCAAACUUACAAUAUAUAGAGAGAGAGAGAAAUAAAAAGAAAAAAGAGCAAAAGGAAACAGCCCCCGUCUUUCAUGUUCCCUUUCCCUUCUUUACACGGCCUACUCCAUGAAAAAGCAAACACGGCUUAAAGAUAAAAUAGCUUUGAUUUACAACCACGGCUUGAAGGGCCUGGAAUAUAGGACCAGGAAAAAUUCAUGUAUCUAUUACUAGACACAAUUAAUUGUACAUUGCUAUAAUAAAAUUACGUAUUUAUUUUUAAGUGGGAAAAAAUUAAGCCAUGAGGCCAGGGGUUCUUUGUCUUUACCUAUUUUUGUUUUGGCCACCGAAUUUAUUUUUUUUCAAUAAAAGAGAAUGUUUUGUGUAACUAUUAGAUAAUUGAAAUCAUCGCUAAUCUCCUUUGUUCAUUUUCCUUUUUUCAUUACCCCCUUCCGCUUGGCAUGUGCGAAGCUUUAUAUCGAAGAGCUUGUUUGGCAGUGUGGUAGCGAUUGCUUUUCAAAUAGCUUUUUGUGCUAAAAUACAUGUCAAUGAUGUUUUUUCAUUUUUUAAAAAUUAUUUUUGACAUCAGAACAUCAAAACGAUCUAAAAAAUAUAAACCGAAUUCAAUUUUAACAAAAAAAAAAAACAAUUCAAAUUUACACCAAACACAGGUGCAAACGCAGAGACAAACGGUCUCUCAUGAUACCGAUGUUUUCAACGCACUCAAAUCCAUUGUUAGACGCUAAAAGGCAAUAGUAAGAAAGUAAGUCCUUUAAUUUUGGUAGUGGUAGAGACGGCUGGGAGAGGGAGACGAAGGAGAGGUCAGGGAAAGGAGGAAGAUGGGAACGGAGGCCAAGGGGUCUUCUGUUUGUGGAGGUCUGGAAAUGUAAAUGGAAACGGCUUUGGCUCUCUGGUUCUGUUUUUUGGCAAGGAAAUGGGGGGCGGCGGCUGGCUUAGAGAAGAUAAAAGAUUGGGUUUUUUUAGAGUUUCUUUGGGUUUCCUCAAUUUUCUAUCUAAAACUGCCUCAUUACUCUUUUUUUAUGCGUUGUGAGAACCUUUAUUUAUAAGUAAAAUAUUGUUAGGUUCUUCCUCAACUUUUUUUUUUCUUUUUAUAAAUUUUGAAUUUUUUUUUGUAUUUUGAAUUUUUUUAGAAAAAAAAAGCAAUAUCAAUAUUGACUUCAUAAAAAAUAUUAAUGAUUUUAAAAAUAAUAUCGAACAGGUUCAAAAAACCUUUAAAAAUUUAAAUUCUUUUAAUAUAACACUAAAAAUACUAAAAACAAUACAAAUAUAUCAAGAAUAUAUUUUGUUGGGUUUUCAUUAUUUUUUGUUAGUUUUGGAUUUUUUAGAAAAAUUAUAAAAAAGAUAGGUCCAAAAUUGGAUAACAACACUGGGUCUGUUUUAUUGAAAACUCGGGCCUGCAGUUGACCCAGAGAAAACCGGUCAACCCACCGAGUAGUCUGGAACUCGGAUGACCUAACAAAACUUGAUAGAAAUCCAUUUUUUUUUUUAAUGUGUUUUUCCUUCUAGUUAGAGAUUUCUAUUUUUUUUUUUUAAUGUGUUUUUUCUUCUAGUUAGAGCCCUUUAUUUGAUUUGAAAAUAUUAUUUGAUUAGUCCACUUAUAGGUUGACUCUAUUAUUCCUGCCUUGCAUUGCCAGGAAAUUUCUAGUAAUUUAAAUAGGAAAUUUCCUGGUGAUAAACUUGGAAUAUAAUUUUCAACUUUCGUAGGCUAGCACUAAAGUCCCAAACUUCAAGAAUUUCUCUUCUUUUCUCAUUUUCUUGGCAUGCGCGCAGCUGCCUCGAGGAAAAAACGUUUCAGAUGCGGAAAAUAAAUAUAAAAGUGGAAAACAAAUCCCAAAUAUCGACAAACAUGACAAGAGAAGCUUGAUAUCUCUUCGUCCCUUGGUAUCGUGUGAAUGUGGAUAUUAUUUCAGAAUAUCAAUUCAACCGUACUCCAAAGAACACUCAUACUCCAAUAUCAGCAACCACCACGAAAAUUACCAGCUCAGUAAAUUUAUUCUUUGACAAUUAUUACUUCUAAAAAAAAUGAAUUUUUUUUUUAAUUAUACGGCAUCAGCAACUACCUCAAAAUUACCACUCCAAAUUCCAGCUCAAUAUCGAUCAACAUGUGGCUAAAGAAUUUGAUUGCUGCUCAAUAUUUACCGAUACGUGCUUAAGAAAUUUCCUUGCUUUUUUUUCCUGGCAGAAAUUUGAAAAAAAAGAAGAUAAAAAAGAAAUAUGCUUUAGUUGUUCGCUUUUAUUCACCUAUAUUGGCGCUAUAAAGUUUUUUUGAUUGAGGUUUGGUUAAUAAACUCUUAUUUCAUCUUUACUGGCGCUAUAAAGCUGAUAUUGCUGUUGAUAGCUUUUCCUGGGUUGAUCUCUAUCAUUCUGGGUAAAAGUUGAUUUUCACGCAGUUAUAGCUCGUUAUGGCUGUUUGAUUGGAAUUGAUAAUGCUAAAAGCACUUUUACAGAUUUGACAGCGGCAAGGGAAGGGUGUUAGACUAUGUUUGAUAGUGUUGUAACAGUUGUUUUUUAAAUAACUUUUUAUAUUAAAAUGGAUAUCAAUGAUAUUUUUUUUAUUUUUUAAAAAUUAUUUUUUAUAUUAUUAUAUCAAAACGAUCCAAAACAUAUGAACCGUAUUAAAUUUUAUCAAAAAAAAAUUUUGAAUUUUAUAAGAAUAUAGUUCAAUCACAUUCCCAAACGGUUCCUUAAUAAGCAGAACUCGGAAGGAGAUUAUUUUCGACGAGAAUAGUAUUGACCAUGUUGUUUCAUUGUCAGGGAAAGCACUUAUUUCUUUAAUGUAUGUUUCCGGAGAUUAUUGCGGUGGGAUAUGUUUUGGCAGCUAAUGCAAUUCACAAUGACCUUGGUCCUUGAGAUCUUUACCUAUUUUGGUUUGCAUUGCUAAUAAUUUGCAACAAAAAUGAUGAACAGUUUUUAGUGAAUUAAGUUUAAUAAUAGAAAAUCCUGUGCAAAUUAUACAAAAUCCUGCUUUAAGUUCUUGGAACCUCGCUCUGGGAUUAAUUAACGAGAAUAAGAAAAUUUUGUGCAAAUUAUAUAAAAUUUAUUAUUAAUCAUCGAUAUAAUAUUUAUUAUAGGUCAUCAAUAUUGAAUAAUGAUUUAUUUUCUAGCAUAAACUUUGUUUGAGAUAAAAUUGAUAAAAGACAUGAUUACACAAUUAUUGAUGGGAUUGUAUAUAAAAAUAAUUAAAUUGAGAUUUUUUUAAUUAUUUUUAAACAUGUCAUGGUUUUAGGUACAUCAUGUAAAUUAUAAAAAAAAAAUAUUUAUUUUUCUGAUAUAUAUAGUAAUAACAAAUGGUUAGAAUGCUUUCGUCCUUUUCGAGUGGAAAGUGGUGUGAAAGUGGGAACUACUGUGAUAGCUUUAUGCCACUUUCUAUCAUUAGAUGUAAUGGCUUUGGCAAAAAGAAACAAAUAAAAGUUAGUGUUGGCAUCGAUUUAAUAAAUUGUUACAAUAAUAGCACUAGGUGAAGAAUGGUGAACCUGUCGCGCUGGAUCGCUUUAAUAAAAAUGUUUUCGGACCGCAAAAAGACAUUCCCUUUCUUGUCAUAAAGUUUUGAAGAGCUAUCAAAAAAUACUUUUCGUGUAUUAUUGUCAUUAAAUUUUUCAGACUUUCAAUAUAGAGAGAGAAAUAAAAAUAAAAAGAGCUAAAGGAAACAACCCCCAUUGAAAAUCAAACGGGAAACGCCAUUACUCCAUUACUCCUAGAUUCAUGUUGUAGUUUGCUUUUUAAAGGGAAAGGGAAUGUUUUUAGCUAAAGGAAACGCCCCAUUUGAUUUUCAAUCAGUAUGAGUGAGAAAGAGAGGACAAACGGGUCCUCUCUCUCUUUCCCUUUUGGCUACAUUUACUUAGUCCUGUUAUUUAUAAAGCUUAUAACUUAGUUCAAGUCAAUAAAAGCUUAGCAGUUUGAUACAAAAGCUCAUGGCCAAAUUAGAGAUAUUUGUUUUGGAUGUAAUAAAUAUUCAUAUUGUCACAUAAUAUUCAUCUUUCAAAUCCAUAAUUUAAUUGAUCAUAUAAAUAAAUUUUUUUUAAAAAAAAAAAGCAAAAAGGAAACAUCUUUCUUGUUCCCUUUCCCUUCUUUACACGGCCUAGUACUCAAUGAAAAAGCAAACACCCCAUUUGAUUUUCAAUCAGUAUGAGAGUGAAAAUGAGAGAGAGGUACAAGUUUGUUUCUAUCUAAGAAAGCAAGAAGCUCCCACUAAUGCAUGUUCUCCACAAACUACCCCCAAAUCCGUCACUACAGCUCAAGUAGCUUUGAGUCAUUAAUUCCAACAAAUAGGAAUUGAAUUCAAAGGAAUAAAUCAUUAAAUGCGGAGUUGGUGUUCUCGUGUUUGUGGUGCUGAUAAAUGUAAGAACAGACAAAGAGAUGAAAUAGGAAAAAUCCAUGUAUCUAUCCUUUAUCCUGCUGUUAAUUUUUUAAAGACGCGUAUCAGGUGUUUGAUAAAAUUCCUCAACUUAAAAAAAAUAAAUAAAUAAAAAACCAUGUUUAGAAUGCUUGAGUCCUUUACGAGUGGAAAGUGGGAACUAUCCACUUUCCCAUUCUCCACUGAGCGUGAAAGAGGGAACUACUGUGAGAGCUUUAUGCCACUUUCUAUCUUAGAUGUAAUGGCUUCGGCAAAAAGAAACAAAUAAAAGUUAGUGUUGGCACUGCUUUAGCCCAAGAGUCUUUCAUGGUUGCCUUGAAUUGAUUGACAGGAAGAAGUCUGAAUGUGUUAAGAAAGAAGCAGCCUUCAAGCUUUUCAAAACCAAUCUCUGUAUCUAUUAACAAAAACUCUAAAUCGCGAGUACUAGACACAAUUAAUUAUGUUUUUUGUAAUUAUUAGAUAAUUGAAAUCAUCACUAACUCCUUUGUUCAUUUUCAUCUUUUUUUAUUACCCUUAGCAUGAUACACAGAAAAGAAGAAGGGUUCAAGAGAGAACAAUAAUGGAGGGGAAUUAAAAUCUUUGUUUGAUUUUAUGCUGUGUUUUUGGUACAUUGAUCAACAAUAGCUUGGAAGAGCUUGAUAGCAAUAACCUUUUCGACGUCAAUAAUUAAUGUUAACGCGUGGAUCCAGUUGUCGUGGAAACUUUGCAAAGGAUCUGCAGGAAGAAAAAUGAAAUUUGCUAAUGCAGGGGUAUAGUGGAUCUUUCUCAUGAGAUCACAAUAAUUUAAUGAAAAAUAAAUAAAAUAAAUUAUAAAAUUUAAUUUUUAAUCAAAUUUAUAUUAAAAAAUAAAAUUAAAAGAAAAAAAAACUAAUUAAAAAAACAAAAUCUAAAUCAACUGAAUUAACUUGUUAAAUCUAAGAUCCGUAUCAUAUCAUGAGAGUGUAAUAACUAAAUAUAAAAAAAAAUUAAUAUUAAUGAAUUAAAUUGAACAAAUAAAAUUAAUUAUAAAAAAAAUAAAUAAAGAAAAAAGCAAAAAUAAAAACACUAUAACCGAAGAAGAUCAGUUUUAGUUAUCAAUCGAAUUUUAGCAAAAUCUAGGAUCCAAGAAUUGGCCUCUGUAACAUAGUAUGUAUUCUGAGCCAAUCUAGGCUAGGAUUUGAAACAAAUGUUGUAUACUGUUUGCACUGUCACUUUGCUUACCCUCUUAGGUUUUUAUUGAGAUUAGGGAUUCUAUUGUAGCUCUUUUUUCUCCUUUUAUUAUAAUAAAAUAAUAUUUAUGGAUUAAUUUUGGUAUAAUUUAAAAAAGUAAGUCCUUUAAUCAAAUUUUAGAUUGACCAUCCACAAUGUGUUAAAAGUAAAUGUUAAUUUAUAAAAUAAUAUCCUUACUGCGCUAUAAAGCUGAUAUUGCUGUUGAUAGCUUUUGCUGGGUUGAUCUCUUUGGUUUAUCUCUAUCAUUCUGGGCAAAAGAUGAUUUUCACGCAGUUAUAGCUCGUUAUGGCUGUUUGAUGGGAAUUGAUAAUGCUAAAAGCACUUUUACAUAUUUGACAGCAGCAAGGGAAGGGUGUUAAUCUGCAGAACUCGGAAGGAGAAUAGUAUAUAUUGACCAUGUUGUUUCAUUGUCAGGGAAAGCACUUAUUUCUUUAAUGUAUGUUUCCGGAGAUAAUUGCGGUGGGAUAUGUUUUGGCAGCUAAUGCAAUUCACAAUGACCUUGGUCCUUGAGAUCUUUACCUAUUUUGGUUUUGGUCACCAAACUUCAUUUGUUUUCAAUUACAUCCUUGCAAGUUCUAUUAACAGGGUUCUAUUUGUUGUUAUCCACUUCGAUUUUCAUGUUCUUGCAUAUAUCUUUAAAUAUUCCUACAUUCAAUUAGAAAUCAAUUUUUUUUAACCCAAUUGCUAUUAAGGUAAGUUCUCCACCUGCAUGUUCUUCCUUUUCAAGCUAAGCGUAGGCAUCUUUAGCUACACUUACUUAGUCCCUGUUAUUUAUAAAGCUUAUAAUUUAGUUCAAGUCAAUAAAAACUUAGCAGUUUGAUACAAAAGCUCAUGUCCAAGUAAGAGAUGUUUAUUUUAGAUGUAAUAAAUAUUCAUAUUGGAACAUAAUAUUCAACUCUCAAAUCCCUCAUCCAGUUCAUCAUAUAAAUAAUUGUUUUAAUUAAUAACUAUAAGAAAUAAAAAUAAAACCCAUUGCUAGUUGAUUACUUGAAUAAAAACUCAAGAUUGCCGAGCAAAGCAAAUAAAUUACUUAAUCAGGGUUACUGGAGGAGUUAUUUGCCAGGAAAUUUUAAAAUACAGUUAAAAUUGUGUUUUUAAAAAUAUUUUUAGAUCAUUGUGAUAUAUUGAUAUUAAAAAUAAAUUUUAAUAUAUUUUUAAUUAAAAAAUAUUUUUUAAAACAAUUUUCACCACACUAUCAAACAUGUUAAAUUUUUUUCAAAUAUAUGGAUUGAUGUUGACUCUCUAGUUAUUUUUUAUAAUAAAUUUUGAAUCCAAACAAGUGAAUUUAAAUGCAUGCUUGAUUUUCUCUUUAAUUUAAUUAACAAUAAUUUCUCAUUUUCAAUAAAUAUUUGAGUUUAUUAAUUAUUCGAGUAAGACGAACUCUGUAUUUUAAAAUACUAUUUUUAAAAGAUUUUCUUUUUAUGGAUCAAGACAACAGUAUCAUUCAAAUGUUAUGAAUAUAAUAACUUUUACAUAUUUUUCAAGUUUAGUACUAGAAUAGUAGUGUAAUAAUUCUUUUAAUAUUUAAAAAUUAAAAAAAUACUGUGUAGCUGUUUUGUAUAAAUUGUAAAGUAAAAGCACAGAGAAGACAGAACAAUAAUGAAGGACCUCAAUAAUGUUAACGUGUGGGACCCAGUUGUUGCAUCCACCACGAAUGUUCCAUCUCAAUAUUUACCAGUACUACACGCUUGAGAAAUUUCCUUGCUUUUUGUACCUGAACCGCUCUACGUGUAACCUUUUACCUUUUAUAAUUAUGAUUACCAGCAAAGUUUGCGGUGCGCAUGGAUGGUCCAUUCCACCCGUACACAUUAAAGAAUAUAGGUCCAUGUGAUCGUAGGGAAAUCAUAUUCAUUUAAAGAAAAUUGCUAAUAAUUUGCAAGAAAGAUGAUGAACAUUUUUUAGUGAAUUAAGUUCAAUUAUACAAAAUUCUGCUUUAAGUUCUUGGAAUCUCGCUCUGGAUUAAUAAGCGAGAAUAAAAGAAUUCUGUACAAAUUAUAUAAAAUUUAUUAUUAAUCAUCGAUACUUAUUAUAGGUCAUCAAUAUUGAAUAAUGAUUUAUUUUCUAGCAUAAAUUAUGUUUGAAAUAAAAUUGAUAAAAGACAUGAUUACACAAUUAUUGAUGGAAUAGUAUAUAAACAUAAUUAAAUUGAGAUUUUUAAUUAUUUGUAAACAUAUCAUGGUUUUAGGUACAUCAUGAAAUUAUAUAAAAAAUAUAUUUAUUUUUCAUAUAUAUAUAGUAAUAACAAAUGGUUAGAAUGCUUUAGUCCUUUUCGAGUGGAAAGUGGUGUGAAAGCGGGAACUACAGUGAGGGCUUUAUGCUACUUUCUAUCUUAGACGUAAUGGCUUUGGCAAAAAAAAAACAAAAAAAAGUUAGUGGUGGCACUGCUUUAUGCCACUUUCUACUUGCAUUGACUGACUUGUUAAAUAUUUGCUACUUGAAAUGAAAUUUUCAAGUAAUUUAUGGAGGAAAUUUCCUUGUACUCUCUCCUGUACAUUAUUAGAAAAAUUGUUAUUGACUAAUUGAUUUGUAAAAGUAUUUCCAAGAAAGCUAAAGAAUUAGAGUUUUUAAAAUUUUUAAAUUAUUAAAAACCUCCAAUUUUUAUUUUUUUUUUAAAUCAAGAAUAAAACACCAACUAUUUAUAUAAUUGCUAAAUAAAUCUAAUAAAAUAAAUUGGAAAUAAAUAGUAAAUAAUCCAAAAAUAAUUAGAAAAUAAAUAUAUUUCCACAAUAUGAUAUGAGUAUGUUUUCUAUCUUGAUCGACUGACUUGCUAAGUAUUUGUUAAGCAUAAAUGAACUUUACUCUAAAAAUCUGUUUAAUAUUUUUCUUACUUUUAUUAUUUUACUUCAAAGUUUCAAUUUCAUAUUUUUUUACAAUGUAUAUGUUAUUUAAUUAGUCUAAUCAUAGAACAUGUUAAGAAUUGACUUGAAAUUAACACUUGAAAUUCUGGACUGGAAACUGGCUUAAAUGCUAGCCACCAACCCUUUUUUGCUCAAUCCAUGGUAGAAAAUGUGAUUUCUUAUUCAAGAUCGUGGACAACACACUCAAGAUUAUGGGAAGGUGUUUUUUGUUUACUAGGAGGAUCAAUUCGUAGCUAUGAUUGGGUCGAAAAGAGGGAAAAAAGUGGCAGCAUUCCAUAUACGUUUAAGGAAACCCAAAUUUCUACAGAUUUUAGGGACAAAACAACGUCAUUUUUGUUUUUCUUUCAAUAUCAAAAUUUUUUCUUCCCUUUUUCCAGGCAAAACGCACCAUUUUAAUCGGUGUAAAAAGGCGUCGUUUUGCUUUCGGUUUUCUUCUUAUGGAAUAAUGCUAAACGCCCAUGUGGAACUAUAUAAAUGCAACAUUUUAGCAUUUUUUGUACUUCGAUCCCUAGACUUUUAAUUCUUUUAUUUAAAUAUAUUAUUUGAUUAGUCCAUUUAUAGGUUGACUCUACUAUUCCUGCCUUGACAGUAAAUUUCACUAGAAAUUUCAAGUAAUUUACACAGGAAAUUUCCUGGUGAUAAACCUGGAAUCUGAUUUUCAACUUUCGUAGGCGAGCACUAAAGUCCCAAACUUCAAGAAUUUCUCUUCUUUUCUCAUUUUCUUGGCAUGCGCGCAGCUGCCUCGAGGAAAAAACGUUUUAGAUGCGGAAAAUAAAGGUAAAAGUGGAAAAUAGAAGCGGGAAAAUAAAUCCCAAAUAUCGACAAACAUGACAAAAGAAGCUUGAUAUCUCUUCGUCCCUUGGUAUCGUGUGAAUGUGGAUAUUAUUUCAGAAUAUCAAUUCAACCGUACUCCAAAGAACACUCAUACUUCAAUAUCAGCAGCCACCACGAAAGUUACCACUCUAAAUUCCAGCUCAGUAAUUUAUUCUUUGACAAUUAUUACUUUUUAAAAAAUGAUUUUUUAUUAAUUAUAUGCCAUCAACAACUACCUCAAAAUUACCACUCCAAAUUCCAGCUCAAUAUCGAUCAACACGUGGCUAAAGAAAUUUUUUUUAAUCUCUUAUAGGAAUCUCUUUACUAAAUCAUCAAAAUAUCAUAUUAUAUUUCCAAAUACUAUUACUACAGUUUAUAUAUAUAUAUAGAAACAACUAAGUAGAGAAAUUAUCUUUUAUUUUCUUGUUCUUUAGCUUCCGUUUCGGUUUUGGCUUCUGAUUCUUUGGCUUUAGGUACAACCUAAGUAGGUAAAGCUUCUGUUUCUUUGUUCUUGUUCCUUUAUAUAUAUACAUUCUCAAUUUCAUAAAAAAAAAUUAAUUAGUCCUUUAAAUCUUAAAAAAUAGUAUUUAAUCCUUAUGUUAUUAUAUUCAUUUCUAAUUGAAUUUUUUUCGUCCAUUCAUCUUUUUAUUUAUUUAAUAGCUUAAGUAAUUUUUAGAUUAAAGCUAAAUAAUUUUACUAUUAAAGGCAUUUUUUUUAAAUAAAAUAAUAUUAAAUUAAGCAUGCUCAACAUUGUUCAAAUUAUUAAUUAAUUAUAAUUAACUUGAGGUUUAGAAGAAACAAAAAGGAAGGAUAAAAUUAUCUUCCCCACAACCGUAGACCUAACCCCUUUCCAGACCAGUCCCCUAGUAAAUAGAAUGAUGGUCCCAUAAAUAGUUUUUUUUUUCUUUCCAGCCCGCCAAGCAGUUUGGUCUCCCUCACUGGAGAACCUUAGCACGAGAAUAACACUAUAAUUUAAAAGUAGUUUGAAGUAUCAUUAAACCUGAUACAAAUGAAUAACUGAUAAUAAUAUAAUUGGGAUUUAAAAAAAAUCAUAAAAAAAUCACUUAAAAAAACCAAAAAUUAAACAACCGAUAAUAAUAUAAUUAAAAUAAUAAAAAAUUGUUUAAAAAACAAUUUGAAACAGUUUAAUCUUAAAAAAAAAAACAAAAAGUAACAUGCGAUGAAAACCAAUUCAUGAAAAAGUAAUUGGAUAUUAAUUUAGACUAAAAGGAUGAAAUAAUAAAAACAAAAAGAGAGUUUGAGGGUAUUCAUUUUAUUGUUCAAAGGAACGCAAAAAUGCAUUCCAAGUAUGAAGUGUUUUAUUGUUAUAAAGUUUUUCAAACGUACAAUAUAUAAAUAUAUAAAGAGAGAAAAAAAAAAGAAAAAAGAGAGCAAAAGGAAACAGCCCCCAUCUUUCUUGUUCCCUUUCCCUUCUUUACACGGCCUGCUCCAUGAAAAAGCAGGAAGAAGUCUGAAUAUUUUUAGAAAGAAACAGUCUUCAUUGCUUUUCAAAACUUUGUUACUUCGACUUCAGUAAUGUUAACGCGUGGACCCAGUUGUUGUGGAAACUUUGCAAAGGAUCUCGAGGAAGAAAAAUGAUUGCAUUGCUAAUAAUUUGCAAGAGAGAAUUCUUUCACUGAAUAGAAAAAAAUAUUAUUUUUAAAAUAAUAACAAGUAAAUUUAAAAAUUAGUAUUUUUUAAAUAAAAAAAACUAGAAAUUCCUGAUAAUAUUGAAUCAAAAAUAAAAUAUAAAAAAAACUCUUUUCAAGUAGAAAAAAAUAUAAAAGUUUAAUAAUACUGAAUAGAAAUAAAUAAAAUUUCUAAACUAAAUAAAAAUAUUUUCUAUCCCAAAAAUUCUUAUAUCAAAAACUCAUUUAUCAUAUUUUAUAUCUAUAAAAAACUAAUUUGUCAUAUGUACUGGUCCAUAUUCUAAAACCAAAAAAAAAAGUAACAAAAAAAAUAUAAUGAUGGGAUGGUAUAUAAAAAUGAUUAAAUUGAGAUUUUUCAAUUACCUUUAAACAUAUCAUGAUUUUACAAUACUGUUAAAUGAUAUAUUUAUUUUAUUUUAUUUAUUAAGACUAAAAUAGUAUUUUCAACUUAACCUAUAUAUAAAUUUUUUAUAAUUAAGUUAAAGCAAGAAUAAAAAUGCAAAUCAAUUAAGGAGAACUCGAGCCUCAUUCCUUUUCGUAUUCAUAUUUAUUUUUAUGUUAAUUAAUUGUUUUAACAGAUACAUCAUGUAAAUUAUAUAAAAAAAAAUUAUUUUUCUGAUAUGUAUAUAGUAAUAACAAAUUAAAUGAUAGUAACAACAAAAUAGAAAUUAGUUUGAAUAAAUGGUAGCAGUUUCUAUAUAUCAUGAUAUAUAUCUAGGAAGAAGUUUGAAGAAUAGAAUAAAGUAAAAUAUUCUUAAUAAUAAAAAAAAAGAGAACACAGAAAGAAAUAAAAUAUGUUUGUAAUAAAUAUAAAAGAUGGAUGAAAAUAUUAGAGAAUAGGAAAGAGAUAUUAGAAUUACAUAAUGCUAGGUUUUGUAUAACUCUUUUGGAUGAAUGGUUAAUGUAGGGACUGUUUGGGGUCUGACAUGACUGAUUUUAGUUGAAUAUAUUAUUUGAUUAGUAUUGACUCUACUAUUGUUAAUGCAUGGACUUGAAAUUUCAGUAUUCAAUAUCCUUGUUUUACUCUGCAGCUCACCUCUCUGUCCCAUUGCUGCCAUUUCAUCGCUAACUCUUUGUUAUAUUUAACUUCUUCUUUGCUUCUUGCUUAUAACGAUAACUUGAAAGCCUCGCGAAAGAGAAGAAAAGCUCUUCUUUGUUAUCAUUGACCAGUUCAUCCUAUAUCAUUCUAUUUAAUUUAGAAAUGCAGAAAGAAAAACGCAAGCAAUCCAAAGAUGAAGAAAACGAUUCAUCCUCGCGAAAGAGAAGAAAAGCUGACCUCA
rnacentral:lncRNA from 1 species